AGGUGAACGAGAACGAAUGAGUGAACAAAUCAUGGUAUUGGAAAACAAGUUGUUGGAAGCACUAGAUUGGAAAUUUAUGCAUGAAACAGAUCUGAAAAAAAAUUCUGAUUUGAUGAUCGAAGAUGUACAUAAUGAUGGUAAUCUCAUCUCCAAACAGGAGUCAAGUUGAAAAUCACGAUGGCAGUCUUUGGUUAGGGAGGAAAAUGAGUUUCUCAAUAUUCAGGUCUAGAUCACACUUGAUGC